rnacentral:rRNA from 1 species
AUGGCAUCGCUGGGGCGGCUCAAAUCCGCCAUCUUCGACAGGGAGGAGAGGAGGAUGCAGUACCAGUCGCACAUCCGGGGGCUCAACGCGUACGAUCGCCAUAAGAAGUUCAUGAAGGAUUACGUUCAGUUUUAUGGCCAUGAGAAAAAUGUGGAUAACAGUCUGCCCAUCAAAACUGAUAAAGAUACAUUGAGAGAAGGAUACAGGUUCAUUCUUUCCGAGGAAGAUGACAUGGAUUCAACUUGGGAGAAGAGGCUGGUCAAACGUUACUAUGACAAGCUUUUUAAAGAGUAUUGCAUUGCUGACAUGACCCAGUAUAAAAAAGGCAAGAUUGGAUUGAGAUGGAGAACAGAAAAGGAAGUGAUAUCUGGCAAAGGGCAAUUUAUCUGUGGUAAUAGGCGUUGUGAUGAAAAACAUGGGCUAGGCAGUUAUGAGGUGAAUUUUUCUUAUGUUGAAGCAGGGGAGCAGAAACAAGCACUAGUGAAGCUGGUAGCUUGCAAGAGAUGUGCAGAAAAGCUUGCUUAUAAGAGGCUGAAGGAGAAAGAGAAAGAGAAGGAGGGGAUCCCUACGGUGAAAAGGAAAUUGAGAAGUGAUGAUACCUCUGAGGAUGAGGCCAAGAAAGAUAGAAGAAAGAAAAAAGAUCGGAAGGGAGCUUCUUCAAGGGGUUCAGGAAACAACGAAGAAGGUUUCGAAGAGUUCCUCGAAGGCAUGUUCCCAUGA